rnacentral:rRNA from 1 species
GUGGCGCAGCUAACGCAUUAAGUUAUCCGCCUGGGGAGUACGGUCGCAAGAUUAAAACUCAAAGGAAUUGACGGGGGCCUGCACAAGCGGUGGAGCAUGUGGUUUAAUUCGAGGCAACGCGCAGAACCUUACCAGCCUUUGACAUCCUAGGACGGUUUCUGGAGACAGACUCCUUCCCUUCGGGGACCUAGUGACAGGUGCUGCAUGGCUGUCGUCAGCUCGUGUCGUGAGAUGUUGGGUUAAGUCCCGCAACGAGCGCAACCCUCGUCCUUAGUUGCCAUCAUUUAGUUGGGCACUUUAAGGAAACUGCCGGUGAUAAGCCGGAGGAAGGUGGGGAUGACGUCAAGUCCUCAUGGCCCUUACAGGCUGGGCUACACACGUGCUACAAUGGCAUCUACAGUGGGCAGCUAUCCCGCAAGGGUGAGCUAAUCUCCAAAAGAUGUCUCAGUUCGGAUUGUCCUCUGCAACUCGAGGGCAUGAAGGCGGAAUCGCUAGUAAUCGCGGAUCAGCAUGCCGCGGUGAAUACGUUCCCAGGCCUUGUACACACCGCCCGUCACACCAUGGGAGUUGGAUUCACCCGAAGGCAGUGCGCUAACCGCAAGGAGGCAGCUGA